rnacentral:rRNA from 1 species
GUGUCAGCCGCCGUGGUAAUACGGAGGAUGCAAGCGUUAUCCGGAAUCAUUGGGUUUAAAGGGUCCGUAGGCGGCCAAAUAAGUCAGUGGUGAAGGCCCAUCGCUCAACGAUGGAACGGCCAUUGAUACUGUUUGGCUUGAAUUAUUAGGAAGUAACUAGAAUAUGUAGUGUAGCGGUGAAAUGCUUAGAGAUUACAUGGAAUACCAAUUGCGAAGGCAGGUUACUACUAAUAUAUUGACGCUGAUGGACGAAAGCGUGGGGAGCGAACAGGAUUAGAAACCCGUGUAGUCC